GUGGGGAAUAUUGCACAAUGGGCGCAAGCCUGAUGUAGCAACGCCGCGUGAGGGAUGACGGCCUUCGGGUUGUAAACCUCUUUUAGUAGGGAAGAAGCGAAAGUGACGGUACCUGCAGAAAAAGCACCGGCUAACUACGUGCCAGCAGCCGCGGUAAUACGUAGGGUGCAAGCGUUGUCCGGAAUUAUUGGGCGUAAAGAGCUCGUAGGCGGCUUGUCGCGUCUGCUGUGAAAUCCCGGGGCUCAACCCCGGGCCUGCAGUGGGUACGGGCAGGCUAGAGUGCGGUAGGGGAGAUUGGAAUUCCUGGUGUAGCGGUGGAAUGCGCAGAUAUCAGGAGGAACACCGAUGGCGAAGGCAGAUCUCUGGGCCGCUACUGACGCUGAGGAGCGAAAGCAUGGGGAGCGAACAGGAUUAGAAACCCCUGUAGUCC
rnacentral:rRNA from 1 species